GACAGAGGAUGCAAGCGUUAUCCGGAAUGAUUGGGCGUAAAGCGUCUGUAGGUGGCUUUUUAAGUCCGCCGUCAAAUCCCAGGGCUCAACCCUGGACAGGCGGUGGAAACUACCAAGCUGGAGUACGGUAGGGGCAGGAGGGAAUUUCCGGUGGAGCGGUGAAAUGACGUAGAGAUCGGAAAGAACACCAACGGCGAAAGCACUCUGCUGGGCCGACACUGACGCUGUAGAGCGAAAGCGUGGGGAGCGAACAGG
rnacentral:rRNA from 1 species